rnacentral:rRNA from 1 species
UACGGAGGGUGCAAGCGUUAUCCGGAUUCACUGGGUUUAAAGGGUGCGUAGGAGGGCAGGGAAGUCCGUGGUGAAAUCCUAGAGCUUAACUCUAGAACUGCCGUGGAUACUCUCUGUCUUGAAUCCCGUGGAGAUGAGCGGAAUAUGUCAUGUAGCGGUGAAAUGCUUAGAUAUGACAUAGAACACCAAUUGCGAAGGCAGCUCGUUACACGAAGAUUGACUCUGAGGCACGAAAGCGUGGGGAUCAAACAGG